rnacentral:rRNA from 1 species
GACGUAGGGCGCGAGCGUUGUCCGGAUUUAUUGGGCGUAAAGAGCUCGUAGGCGGCUUGUCACGUCGGGUGUGAAAGCCCGGGGCUUAACCCCGGGUCUGCAUUCGAUACGGGCUGGCUAGAGUGUGGUAGGGGAGAUCGAAUUCCUGGUGUAGCGGUGAAAUGCGCAGAUAUCAGGAGGAACACCGGUGGCGAAGGCGGAUCUCUGGGCCAUUACUGACGCUGAGGAGCGAAAGCGUGGGGAGCGAACAGG